AGUCCCUGGUGCCUGCUUUUUACGCCCAGUUUAGGGUGGGUGCUGGGGGUUAAGGUUAUUGGGCGAGAUUCAAUGGCAUGAAUUAUUGACCCAGUUUCCGUGGAGACCUGUUCUUGUGCGAAGGCCGAUGAAUCAACUGGAGCCGGACCUCGUACGAAGCAGGGUAAAACCUGCAAGGCGGUGCGAUCGUAUCGUGCUGUGUGCAGCGUAGCCUGCCUUGAGUGAAGCCUGAGGAUGGGGGAACGACGUGCGCUUCCAUGGCCAUGGAAGCAGUGCGAUUGCCUCCUGAAACCGUCUUUGCAAAAGAGGAUAAGAGCCGGUUCGGACUGUCGUGGAAAUCACCUAGGCUGUCCCAAAAGGGGUUGAGCAGGGUUUGCGGUACGGACUAAGUGGCAAUCGGGUCCCGGUCUCGGCAACGGGCCGGCGGAAGCCAUAAAAGGAAACUGCCUCUUCGGCAACGGGAGGUGGCUUUCGUGGAAAACAAACCCGACCUAAGCCGUAAGAUUAACUUGCUUUGCCGCCGCUAUUUUUUG
rnacentral:sRNA from 1 species